CGGAGAGGUGAGCUGCCGGGCGCCGAUUGGCCGCGGGCGGGUGACGUGCGCGCCCUGCGGAGGCCGAAGCGGCGCGGGCGGCAGUGGGGCAGCGGGGCCCGCCUCUGAGUCCUGAGGUCGAAGAGGGCCUUCACGGUGGGCUUUUCAUGUCCGGAGACUGUGUCCGAGGAGGUCAAGCACGUGAGAGUGCUUUGUAACCGGAAGGUGUCUUUCAAAAGCAGCUCCAGAUUUGCUCCUGCUACCUGGUAGGAUGGAACACCUGACCAUGGGACAUCAAGUGACCGUGUGAAUAAUCAAACCACCCAUCGUGAACUGACGUUAUCUGAUUCACAAGACCAUACAGCUGGAUGAGCACAGAGCAGUCUACUCCCUGGUAGACUGGGAACUGGCUACGGCUGAACUAAAUGAGCAGGUGACUCAGACUCCUGUAGUCCCUGACCCUGCUCCUUCAGCGUUUCUCCCCCAACCCAUAUAAGUUGGCUUCAGGAGGAGUUCCUUCUGACCAGUUAAUGGAAGAGAAAAAAGUGUGGGUCCUAUUCAUUCUUGAAAGGAUCUGCUGUGAGCUGGCCACAGCUGGAUGUGAAUGGUCAGUAAAACACCUCUCAUUAGCGGCACUAACACAUAUUGUAAAGGGAAAUCUUUCCGUAGGGAAUAAUGUUAGGAAUACAGCCUGAGGUCAGGGUAUGUACUGGUUCAUUGUCACUGGCUUAUGAGUUGACAGGCUAGAGGAGAACUCAGAAGAAAUUGGAAAACUGGCCAGUUAUGAUACAGUAACCUGCAAAUUAGGGAUGCUGGCCUAAACAAUGUAGUACAUGCUUAGAAUCCAUAAUCAGUAUAUGGUGCUACCUUCCCCAGAAGGUGUAUAGAGUGGAUAUGAGAGUAGUCCUUCUAUUUUUCAGAAUGACUAAUUUUGUAAAAAAGAGUUCAGGUGGCAUGUUUUCCAAAUUUGGUGGAAAGCAUAGGACUAUAAAUCUACAAAGCUCAGGAAAUUGCAAGCAGAAAAA